rnacentral:rRNA from 1 species
CAAUAGCGUAUAUUAAAGUUGUUGCAGUUAAAAAGCUCGUAGUUGGAUUUGUGGCGUACGGUGUGUUCCGGGCACUUGUUGUCUGAGUAACCUGCUGUUGCCAUCCUUGGGUGGAACCUGUGUGGCAUUAGGUUGUCGUGCAGGGGAUGCCCAUCAUUUACUGUGAAAAAAUUAGAGUGUUCAAAGCAGGCUUAUGCCGUUGAAUAUAUUAGCAUGGAAUAAUGAGAUAGGACUUUUUUGCUAUUUUGUUGGUUUGCGCAAAGAGGUAAUGAUUAAUAGGUACAGUUGGGGGUAUUCGUAUUCCAUUGUCAGAGGUGAAAUUCUUGGAUUUUUGGAAGACGAACUACUGCGAAAGCAUUUACCAAGGAUGUUUUCAUUAA